UACGGAGGGUGCAAGCAUUAAUCGGAUUUAUUGGGCGUAAAGGGCGCGUAGGCGGAAAGAUAAGUCAGAUGUGAAAUCCCGGGGCUCAACCUCGGAACAGCAUUUGAAACUAUCUUUCUAGAGGGUAGGCGGAGAAAACGGAAUUCCACAAGUAGCGGUGAAAUGCGUAGAUAUGUGGAAGAACACCGGUGGCGAAGGCGGUUUUCUAGCUUACUCCUGACGCUGAGGCGCGAAAGCAAGGGGAUCAAACAGG
rnacentral:rRNA from 1 species